GCAAGUCGAGCGGACAGAUGGGAGCUUGCUCCCUGAUGUUAGCGGCGGACGGGUGAGUAACACGUGGGUAACCUGCCUGUAAGACUGGGAUAACUCCGGGAAACCGGGGCUAAUACCGGAUGGUUGUUUGAACCGCAUGGUUCAAACAUAAAAGGUGGCUUCGGCUACCACUUACAGAUGGACCCGCGGCGCAUUAGCUAGUUGGUGAGGUAACGGCUCACCAAGGCGACGAUGCGUAGCCGACCUGAGAGGGUGAUCGGCCACACUGGGACUGAGACACGGCCCAGACUCCUACGGGAGGCAGCAGUAGGGAAUCUUCCGCAAUGGACGAAAGUCUGACGGAGCAACGCCGCGUGAGUGAUGAAGGUUUUCGGAUCGUAAAGCUCUGUUGUUAGGGAAGAACAAGUACCGUUCGAAUAGGGCGGUACCUUGACGGUACCUAACCAGAAAGCCACGGCUAACUACGUGCCAGCAGCCGCGGUAAUACGUAGGUGGCAAGCGUUGUCCGGAAUUAUUGGGCGUAAAGGGCUCGCAGGCGGUUUCUUAAGUCUGAUGUGAAAGCCCCCGGCUCAACCGGGGAGGGUCAUUGGAAACUGGGGAACUUGAGUGCAGAAGAGGAGAGUGGAAUUCCACGUGUAGCGGUGAAAUGCGUAGAGAUGUGGAGGAACACCAGUGGCGAAGGCGACUCUCUGGUCUGUAACUGACGCUGAGGAGCGAAAGCGUGGGGAGCGAACAGGAUUAGAUACCCUGGUAGUCCACGCCGUAAACGAUGAGUGCUAAGUGUUAGGGGGUUUCCGCCC
rnacentral:rRNA from 1 species